UUGGAAAUUGGAACGGAAAGGUUUCCAAAAGAAAAAAACGAAAGUUUUUUCCGUUCUGGCGCUGCCGCCACUUUGUGUAAAAGGUGCGGUGUCGAGAACCGAGAGGCUAAUAAACUGAGGCCGAGGGAGAAAGAGAUACGAAAAUAACAGCUGAAGUUUCUGCUUCAUCAGAUGCAUACACAUGGUGAUCCAGCGAGAUAAACCCACCAACGCACCUUUUAAGAUUGACUGGGGAAAAGUUUGGGCUCGUAAAGACGACGACCCUAUACCUGAUUUACUCAUUGCCACCACCACCUCGAAAAUGGGCUCCGAUUGGGAGCAUUCCUUCAGGGAAGAACUCCAAAAGCUUAGUGAUGGGGAGCUGGAAGAUAAGAUUGACAGAAUGAAGAAUUUAUCGAAGACCUCUUGUUACAGAUUGUCAGACAAGGGGGAAAAGCUUCGUCGCAGUAUUGAGCUUUUAGAGGAAGAGAGGGAAUCCAGAAAGCUCCGUCGAAUUGAAAAGGAAGCUACUGGAUGCGAAAAUCUCUCUCAGCCAACUAACUCAAGUGUAGUUGGUAGGGAAAGGAUUGCUUCAUCUUCAGCUGAUUCAGUGUCCAUAUUCGCUGCUCGUUUUAACCAGAAGUUGGAACAAAAAACAGAACGGAAUAAUAGCGCCUUUGGUGAAGAGCUUUCGAUUUUGGGACACUGUGAUAAUCGGAGACAAAGAUCUAAUGGUAAAUUAUCCCCAAAAGUAAAACAGAAGGGUCAAACAUCAUCCAGACAGCAGCCAUUCAAAUUUGUCAACAGUCUUUCUACCGAUGUACAUAAAAAAGUUUCUUCAGUUGCUGCCCAAAAUAGUAGAAGUUCCGAUCAUAUUGAUUUUCAUGUCAAUGAAUGGCAACCUGAGCGUUUUGGGAAAUUGCGUUCCACCGUUCACAUGUUUACGUUAUUUUGGCCCCUUCUUUGCAGGAAGGAUGAUUCAGAUACUCCGAUGCCUCAAAAGCGGCAGACCAUUGUAGUUGUUGAUGAGGAGGAAGCUUUGGCAAUGAAAAUACCCAAACAUGAUGAUAAAUGCAUGAAAGAGGCCAAAAUUUACUACCCGUCGAGGGAUGAUCCAGAAUCCGUUGAAAUUUGUUUUGAGGACAUUAAAUGUCUUGAUCCAGAGGGUUAUUUGACAUCAACGAUCAUGAACUUUUAUAUUCGGUAUUUACAACAACGAGCACUUUCAGCAAAUAAGGUGACAUGCAAUUAUCACUUUUUCAAUACCUAUUUUUAUGAAAAGCUAAAGGAGGCUGUGUCAAACAAGGGGAAGGACAGAGAUAAUUUUUUUGUCAAGUUCAGAAGGUGGUGGAAAGGCGUUAAUAUAUUUCAGAAAGCAUAUAUACUGAUUCCAAUCCAUGAGGAUCUCCACUGGAGUUUGGUGAUUAUAUGUUUUCCACAGAAGGAAGAUGAAUCGAGACCCAUUAUACUUCAUUUGGAUUCACUGAGACUACACUCUAGCAGAUCGAUUUUUGAUAACAUUAAGAGGCAUUUUUGUAAAAGAGGAAUGGUGCUACUUGGAUCGAGAAGUUGCUGGUUCAGAUCUUCCAUUGCCACAUAAAAUAUGGAAAAACAUCUCUCGAAGAAUUGAAGAGAAAAUAAUCGAGGUUCCUCAGCAAAAGAACGAUUGUGACUGUGGUCUCUUCGUUCUAUACUUCAUAGAGCGCUUCAUCGAAGAGGCUCCUGAUAGGCUAAAAAGGAAGGACUUAGAUAUGUUUGGCAAGCGGUGGUUUAAACCCCAAGAAGCUUCAAGCUUGAGGACGAAGAUAAGAUGUUUGCUUAAAGUAGAGUUCCAAAAUGAGAAAAGGCGAUGUCUGGCAGAUCCUGUGGGGAGCUCUUCCUCCGACCACACUCCAAAACAAUGAAUUGGCAGGUUUUUUUGUAUGGUUCAAGUAAUAGUUCACUUGGGAUUGGGCGGGCUAUGCUAUCCUCUAUUGUCCUUGGCGAUUGAAGUUAAAGAAAUCACUCUGUUCUCAUCCUAUCGACCAACCGAUUUUAGGUAUGAUUUUUUUUCAACAAAUUCAGAAAUGUAAAGCCUCACAAGUGUCUGCAAUAAGUUGAAAUUACAUGGUGGGUUGUUAGGGUCACAUCAUAACACUAAGAAAUCAAAUUAGACGAGCUAAAAAAAGCUCAUCACUAGAUUUGAUUUCUAAGGACUUAAGAAACAAACCCAAAGGUUAGGCUUUUAGUGGACUUGGAGUAAAUCUGUCCAUAGGAUAGCUGUGUUUCUAUUGUUAGUUAGUUAGACUGCUCCCAGUCCUAGCCUUCUUGGAUGAUAUGCCUGUUAAACAUAUUUUUAUCCAGUAAAAAGUGCUGUUGGUUAAAUGGAGUGUACACAACCUUUGUCGUUGACCUUAUGAAAGGGUUAAAAUAAUUUCUCGUGUUUAAAAUCACUCAUUAAUCGUUCAAAGACAAUUUAAUGUUUGAUUUUAUACUUCUAAAAAACAUCUUGAAUGAUUAAAUUUGUAUUUUAAAGUGAUUUUAACUAUUCCAAAAUAAUUCUCAAAACAAAAACAUGCUUUGAGUUUCCAUGUUUGUGUGUUUUACCUAUUGAUGGCAUUUGAUUCUUUCACAAACACCCUCAGUAGUGCCAACUUUGUGGCCUACAGAAGAAAAUUACUGCUUCCGAUCGUAUCAGUAGCUUCAGACAGAUGAGCUGUGGAGUUAUGUGAUUACAAGUUAAAUAGGAUUUAGGUAUGGCAUGAGUAAUGUCUAUUCCUUUGUUUGAGGUAAGGUUUGUAUAUUUGGGGAGAACAGCCUGCCUCCUUGACUUUUCAUAUAUACCUGGAGAACACAAGGGUGUUUCUUUAUGUAUCUUUCAAAUUUGUGAGAUUAUUCAUGUAGAUUAUUGAGUCAGAAUUCAUAGAAUUCAUCUGCAAUCAGAUUAUUGAGAUUAUGGUUUUA